CAGCCCUUGACAUGGAACGUAUGGGCCCGAGAGAUCGGGUCCUUCGGGUUAAGCCGGCGUUCACACAGGUGCUGCAUGGCUGUCGUCAGCUCGUGUCGUGAGAUGUUGGGUUAAGUCCCGCAACGAGCGCAACCCUCAUCUUCAGUUGCCAUCGGGUCAAGCCGGGCACUCUGGAGAAACUGCCGGUGACAAGCCGGAGGAAGGCGGGGAUGACGUCAAGUCCUCAUGGCCCUUACGGGCUGGGCUACACACGUGCUACAAUGGCGGUGACAAUGGGCGGCGAUGGGGCGACCCCUAGCCAAUCCCAAAAAGCCGUCUCAGUUCGGAUUGUACUCUGCAACUCGAGUGCAUGAAGUUGGAAUCGCUAGUAAUCGCGGAUCAGCAUGCCGCGGUGAAUACGUUCCC
rnacentral:rRNA from 1 species